UGAGUACGAGCUGCUACGGCAGCGAAGUGGGUGAUGUCAUGCUUCCAAGAAAAGCCCUAUACCCGUUAAGGCAUGAUGGCCUGUACCCGAAACCGACACAGGUGGGGUGGUAGAGAAUACCGAGGGGCGCGAGGUAACUCUCUCUAAGGAACUCGGCAAAAUGGCCCCGUAACUUCGGGAGAAGGGGUGCCACCGCAAGGUGGUCGCAGUGAAGAGGCCCAGGCGACUGUUUACCAAAAACACAGGUCUCCGCUAAGUCGCAAGACGAUGUAUGGGGGCUGACGCCUGCCCAGUGCCGGAAGGUUAAGGAAGCUGGUCAGCGUAAGCGAAGCUAGCGACUGAAGCCCCGGUGAACGGCGGCCGUAACGAUAACGGUCCUAAGGUAGCGAAAUUCCUUGUCGGGUAAGUUCCGACCCGCACGAAAGGCGUAACGAUCUGGGCGCUGUCUCGGAGAGAGGCUCGGCGAAAUAGAAUUGUCUGUGAAGAUGCGGACUACGUGCACCCGGACAGAAAGACCCUAUGAAGCUUUACUGUAGCUUGGUAUUGUGCUCGGGCUCGGAAUGCGCAGGAUAGGUGGGAGGCUAUGAACCAUUGCUCGUGGGUGAUGGUGAGCCACUGGUGAGAUACCACUCUUUCCGAGCUAGAGUUCUAACAGCCACCCGUUAUCCGGGGGCUGGACAGUAUCAGGUGGGCAGUUUGACUGGGGUGGUCGCCUCCUAAAAGGUAACGGAGGCGCGCAAAGGUUUGCUCAGGCUGGUUGGAAAUCAGCCGACGAGUGUAAAAGCAGAAGCAAGCUUGACUGUGAGACCUACAAGUCGAACAGGGAGGAAACUCGGCUUUAGUGAUCCGACGGUUCUGCGUGGAAGGGCCGUCGCUCAACGGAUAAAAGUUACUCUAAGGAUAACAGGCUGAUCUCCCCCAAGAGUUCACAUCGACGGGGAGGUUUGGCACCUCGAUGUCGGCUCAUCGCAACCUGGGGCUGAAGUCGGUCCCAAGGGUUGGGCUGUUCGCCCAUUAAAGCGGUACGCGAGCUGGGUUCAGAACGUCGUGAGACAGUUCGGUCCAUAUCCGGUGCAUGCGCAGGAAUAUUGAGAGGAUUUCUCCCUAGUACGAGAGGACCGGGAGGAACGCACCUCUGGUGUACCAGUUAUCGUGCCAACGGUAAACGCUGGGUAGCCAUGUGCGGAGAGGAUAACCGCUGAAAGCAUCUAAGUGGGAAGCCCACCUCAAGAUGAGUAUUCCCAUGGGGUAACCCAGUAAGGUCACGGGAAGAACACCCGUUGAUAGGCUCUACGUGGAAGCGCAGUAAUGUGUGAAGCGGAGGAGUACUAAUAGACCGAGGGCUUGACCU
rnacentral:rRNA from 1 species